GAUGAACGCUAGCGGCAGGCUUAACACAUGCAAGUCGAGGGGCAGCAUGAGGGUUAGCAAUAACCCUUGAUGGCGACCGGCGCAAGGGUGCGUAACGCGUGAGCAACUUGCCCGUUUCUGGGGAAUAACCGGUGGAAACGCCGACUAAUACCCCAUAGUAUUGAGUUCAGGCAUCUUUACUCAAUUAAAGAAUUUCGGAAACGGAUAGGCUCGCGUGACAUUAGCUAGAUGGCGGGGUAACGGCCCACCAUGGCUACGAUGUCUAGGGGUUCUGAGAGGAAGGUCCCCCACACUGGUACUGAGACACGGACCAGACUCCUACGGGAGCAGCAGUGAGGAAUAUUGGUCAAUGGACGAGAGUCUGAACCAGCCAAGUCGCGUGAAGGAAGACUGCCCUAAGGGUUGUAAACUUCUUUUGUAUGGGAAUAAAAAAUGGCACGUGUGCUAUAUUGUAUGUACCAUACGAAUAAGGAAUCGGCUAACUCCGUG
rnacentral:rRNA from 1 species